GACUGCACGGGCUCUCCUCUCUCCCACGCCUCCUGAUCCCAGCCGCCAGGAGGCCCGCGGCCCGCGCGGCGCUCGAUCCGGUGACGCGCCGGCCACCGCCGACGCCGGUAAUCGCAGCACCCUGCACCACCGUUCUACCUUAGCUCCUCAUCUUCCCCGCGUGCCCGAGCUCCUCCUAUCUCCCGCGUGCCCGAGCUCCUCGCUGUGUGCCGCUCGGGAGGGCUUGCGUUUGCCGCUCGACCAAAGCCACCGCGAGCUAGUCGUCGUUGCACUUGCUGGCGACCUGGCCGUCCCCUCUGCACCACUUUCACCUCAAAUUUGGACGCUCAUGUGCUUGUGGAUGUUGUCAGUUAUUUUUUGCGCACAAGGUGUUUGUGUGUUUGUCUGAACCAGUUUCAGUCACAGAUCCUUGAGCCGACCUAAUUGAGCUAUCGGAGGUGAUGCGGUCUUUUGGCAAACAUGCCCUAUAUUCUAUGGUUUGGCAUCUACAGGAUGCCAUCUCUGGUCAUGUAUCCACUGUGGCUGCUUCAUCCUUCACUUAGGACCUUCUCACCCCCACAGAGAUCAGAGAGAAAAAUAUGUUUUGGAAGCAGGAACCCUUACCUCAUAAGAUGGGUGAGCUGUAGGAUUUGGUUCUGUUGAACUUGAAUUAGUUUUUGCUCAUCAUGUUCUCUGUAUUAGGAAUUCAGGUGCCUUCCAACUCUAAUUUUUUCGUAUUGUUGGUGCAUGCUGGGAGUCACAUUGUUAUGCAUGCUAGCAAACAUUAGGAUUGGAAGUCUUACCCUGUAGGUUAUUAAUAUCUUUUCCACUAACCGAGAUUCAGCAAUUUAAUUCGUAUGGUCGCACAAGCAGUUUUGUUUUCGAAUUUAUCUUGACAAACGUAUUGGGUACAUCAAUUUAAUUCAUAUUAAGGUCACACAAGCAGUUAGUUCCAUUACACUUGGGUCACCGACGGUUGCCGUGCAACUAUGCUCCUCUCAUGUUGUAGUGGCUAGCUGCUGCAAUUCACGGAUCAUGCUCUCAUGGGAAGGAGGCUGUGGCUUUCUCAAUUGAUCAGAACAACAGGACCCCACAUAGUUCUUUUCUAGAUAUAUAUUGUUAUUUAUGAUGUUGUGUGGACCAUCAGAAACCUGAUGUGUGUGUGUAUCAUAGAAUAUCUUGCUAUUUAUGUAUAUUGCUUACCUUUCAUUCCUGUACCACUUCUCUAAAUAUAAGCCACUUCUUUUCUAUUGUUAGCGCUAUCUUUUGAUGUUAAUGCACUAAAAAUCUAAAGCCUUUCCCUCUGCAAAAUGUUGAUAUUAGAGCGUUUUUUGUGGGAAAAUGAUGAUAUUAAAGCUAUGCGUCUUAUAAUCCGUACUGUACAUGACAAUGCGUAUUCAGUUAUAUUAUGUUUGUAGCAUGGCAUUUUUCCAUUCCUUUUUUUCCCGAUGAAUCACAUGGUAAAUUUUGAUGUACAAUGACUGCUCUUGCAAAAAAUGUGGAAUUCAGAGAGGGACUCUACAACAAGCAAGGUUUUAGGUUCUGAAUCUAAAUAACCUCUUCUUCGGUUCAGUCCUAGAAAAAGCUGAUCAGAGAAACAAAGAAGCAACAAUGAAUGGGUCCCUUUCUUGACCACACAAGAGUUGUCCGUGUGCAAGUCAUGAACCGUUUGUCCAUCAAUACAAGUGCAGGAUUUGAACAUGUUAAUUCUGACCUUCUGUUGGGAGUUUAUAUUAUACCUUUCAUGCGAAGUAGUUACAUUUAUCACAUGGAAGACAAUGCCCAUGGAGUGGAAGGUGGAGAGAUUCAGACUUCGGAGUAUGUUAAUGUGCUCAUAAAAUUUCAAUUAAACUUGUAGAAAUCUUCCAUGUAGCUGUGAUUGUUCUCUCCAGACAUGGAGGAUCAGUUCUUGGACAAAUUUAUUUGUCUGUUGUAUGACUUGCCACCACUUUUUUCCAAAAUUCCUAUUCACAUGUUAUCAGACCAUAAAGAUCAAUUUCUUAAAACUUUAGUAGAAUUAAUCUGCCUUUAUUUCUGGACUCUAGCAUUUUGUGCUUCUUCACAAGUUCCUAGUUGUUAUUUGGCGAUUAAUUUAAUUUGAUCUUCAAUUUUGGGUUCUUGGCACUCGCUCGUGCAGGUUAUGACUAUGCCGUAGGUGACAUGCGGAAAGGUGACCAAAGAGUACAUGAAGAAUUCUUGCUAUCAACUAGGGCUGGAUGCCCCCAGGAAGAAUGCCGUCACACGUCGAGGACUUCCUGCCGCCACCUUGGCUGCUGUUGUUGUUCCCUCAAAUAAGCCAUAUAAGGUUAGUUCCAUUACACUGCAAAUGCAACUUGCAAGCAUGGGGACAUGUACAGAACACAAGUGUCAUACACACAGAAAUCAUCAACUUUGUGUUUUAAUUGUCUAAAUUACAGGCAUCCCUAGCUGCACUUGCAGGUCAAAAACAUGUGCAUACUUCAGUAGGCACAACAAGCAGACCUAUACAAAUUUGCUACAAAGGCCUGAGCUACUGAAUAUAUAUACCUGUAAUAAAAAGAGGCUUUCCUAUCGUCCUCUUUCAUGUUCAAGUUCCUAAUGAAGCAGCCAUGAAAGACUGGGUCAACAACGAAAUAAAACAGAAAACUAAACCCACUGUUCAUGAUCUUUGUGGAAGAAAACACAUACGAUUCUUAUUCUGUAAGAGUUGUUUGUCUUUUGAGUUACUGCAUAGGCAAAAUGCCAAAAUUCAGUGUAGUCUUUUCGGUUAAUCUCAUCAUCAUGUAAUUAAUAUUCUGUGAAGACUACAAUAUACAGAAAGGCAAUGAGAAGAACUGGACCUGGUGUGUGAGUGUAUAAAUAUACAAGAAGCUAUUUUUAUCCAAUCGUGCUAUUAAUGACCAUGUGGUGUAAUCUUGGGCUAUUUGUUGUAAAUAGCUAAAAGUUGUUCAUAAUUCUUGGUGUGUUUUGCUGUUUCUUGCACGUGGAGCUGGAGGAUCUGCUCCUUCCCCACGCGUGCCCAUGAGGACAAGGAGUCAUAGUGGUGGCCACUAGUAGCACCAGAAGGAGCGUCCAUUCAAGCACAUUCAACCAUGAUGGUAUGCACGUUUUCUUUUAAAAGCUCAGGCUCCUCUUUCUUACAUGAGUUAUUCUUAAUUAUUGAUUUGAUCUGUAGGAUUUACAUCAGGUUGGCACAAUUUGAUGAACUUGAAUUGUUUUAUGUUGGUCAUUAUAAUUUUUGUGAGUUUUUGUUGUUAGCCCGU